rnacentral:rRNA from 1 species
CUAGGAUUAGAUACCCUAUUAUUUAAAAUGUAAAAACUAGAGUAUUAAUAGAUAUGGUCUUUAAACUUAAAAAAUUUGGCGGUAUUUUAGUCUAUUCAGAGGAACCUGUUUUGUAAUCGAUAUUCCACGUUGAACCUUACUUUAAUUUAUAAAUUAGUUUAUAUACCGUCGUUAUAAAAAAUUUUAUUAGAAAAAUAAUUUUUAAAAUUUUAUAUCAGAUCAAGGUGUAGCUUAUAUUAAAGAAAAUAAUGGGUUACAAUAAAAUUAUUUAUAUGAAUAUAAAAAUGAAAAAUUUAUUGAAAGAGGAUUUGAAAGUAAAAUUAAAUAGAUUAUUAAUUUGAUUUUAGCUCUAAAAUAUGUACAUAUCGCCCGUCACUCUUAUUAUUAAAAUAAGAUAAG